rnacentral:rRNA from 1 species
CGCGUGGAGAACCUGCCGUGGGUGUGGGGGGAGUACCGGCCCAGAAAUGGCCGCUAAUACCGCAUACGAUCGCUUACUGUCGGGUAAGCGAGGAAAGCCGCAAGGCGCAGCAUGAGGGCUCCGCGUCGGAUUAGCUAGUUGGCGGGGUAACGGCCCACCAAGGCGACGAUCCGUAGCUGGUCUGAGAGGACGGCCAGCCACACUGGGACUGAGACACGGCCCAG